GGGAGUGGCAAAUCAAAGGCACUGCAGCCUCUUUCAUCACUGCUGACUGCUGAUGCCAACCAUGUGCCAAGUGCUUAAUACGUCACGUUAAAUCUUCUCAUCCAUCCUCAGAGUAGCAGUAGCAUCAACCCAGUGCCCUGACUUUCAAGACGACUAUGAAAACACCCCAACUGCUGCUAAAUUACCAGCAACAAGGAUCUGACAUUCUUACGGAAAAGAAAGAACACCGAAAUUGACCUUACCCUGACAAGAUGAUGGCUGAAGGAUUUAUGAUCACUUAUAACAUUUGAAAUUGAGGCGGAACCUCAAGAAUAUGACUCUAGUGAAAGGUCCUAUUUAUGCUUUUGAUGUCUUUCACUUCGACAUUUACCAUAUGCCUAUUGGUAGGUUUGUCACACAGGACAGUUAAGGUGAUACAAGAAUAAACAAAACACUAUCCCUAUCCUUUAGUAUCAUUUAUUUAUGGGAUCAAUCAUAGUUUUUCAUUUUUCAAAAUCUUUGAUAAAUGUCAGAAUUAUGUUUUUUAAUAUUUUUACAGAAUUAUUACAAUACAUGGUAGAGGAUGGAAGGCAAGGUAGUAUGAAACAGAAAAGAUAUUUUGAAUUAAGAUAUUUGGAACUGGAUUCAUAUUUUUGCUUUGGUCUUUAUUAGCUAAGUGAUCUUGGGAAAGUUCUUCUACUAAAAAAGAAUAAAGAUAAUAAUUACUUCAUGAAAUUGCUGUAAAAAACACAUAAUAAGUAUAUCCACACUCAACAGUGUAUGCUCAAAAAUUCAGAUCCUUUUUCCCUUACCUGCAACUAAAGUCUUACAGUAAUACAGUGGGGGUAAAGGUUUAAACUGGGGGAUUCAAGAAGGGUUAUAGAAAGAGGUAGCAUUUUAAUAGGGGAAGGAGUGGAUCCAAGAAAUCAGAUCCAUUUUCUACAAAAAGAAAUGGGAAGACAGAUAUUUCAAGAAGAAAAGUUUACAUGAUUGAAGACCCGAAGUUAGAAAUAGUGUUUUGUCUCAAUAGUAAGUUAGGAAUUGGGGUGGACACAGUUGUUGGAAGAAGGAUGGUUUCAGCAAAGACCCGAGAGUUAGGUGACAAUUUCAAUUGCAAGUGUUUGUGAAGAGAUGUGAACAAAAUUAUAAAGUAAUUAGGGUAUAAGAAAUAGGGAGGAGGGAAUGAAUUAACAUUUAUGGAGUGUCUUGCAUGUUCCAAGCACUGUACUACUUGCCUUAUAAAUCUUUUUUCAAUAAAAGCCUACAACAA